AUAGCUGCAGAAGUGCCGCUAUAAAUAUUUGAAUAUGAAAUUGUACUUUAGUUUUAGACAGAGCUCAAAAGGGAUCAGUCGUAUUCUGAUGCACUUAAUAAAGAAGAAUAAUUAUUAUUUGAAAAACCUUAAUAAUUGUUUAAUUUACAUAAAUACAACAUCUUAUGUAAAUUGGCAUCUUAUGCGAGCAGCGCAGCCGUGACUGAUUAAAUAUUCAGACAUUUAACUUUUAUCUUCGAAAUAAUAAAGAAUAAAUAAAACUCAAGUUAAUCGGACGGACAUGUGGACCCAAGUUCCACAAAAGAAACUAUCCCUAACUCCGUAGGACAACAAGACGCUCCAGAUUUUGGAAUUUAAUAUGUAUUUUUUAUUCUUAAAUUUAAAUCCUACGCAUAGAAAUAAUAAUUAACUAAUAAGAAGUAAUGUUUCAUCGAUGAAAGGAGAUGAAAAAACUGACAUGAAAAUCGCCUAAAAGGGCAAUACUCUUACACAAUCGAAAUUUCUGUCUCUUUAAAAAUCAUUGAGGAUUUAGUGAUUUGUUAUGCUUUGUUUUAGCGAUUCAUACAUAGAUAGUUUUCAUACAAAUUGUGCGGUGUUUCACUGAUGAAAACUUGUGUAUUGAACUGUGGGAGUAUAUACAUAUGACAAUUUUACAUAGUCUAAAUGGUUGGAAGGAAUGGUUGAACAUAUACAUAUAGGGGUAUAUCUAUCACGUAGUAUUUUGUUCUUGUAAUAUAUAUAUAUAUAUUUGGGAGCAUUGCAAAAUAUCUGCAUUUGUGAAUUGAAUGAAUUGAAGCUUGUGAUUGAUAAGCUGAAAAUCUAUUUAUUGCCGUUGAGUAUAAUAUAUGACUUUUUGGUCGGAUUGAUGGCGUGGCAACAUCAGUUAACAGUUAACUUGGGCUGUGUCUUUUUGGAAUAUGCAUAUCUUAUCUAAACUUUUUAGCUUUAAUUGUUCCAGUAAUCCCGAAGUGUAUGCUGACGGACAGACGGACAUGUACAGAUAUGAUCGGAAAUCUGAUAUAACAGGCCUGCUCCCGAGCAUGAAACUCAUAUUAAGCCUCCUAUCGUCAAUUAACACACAAUACCUAGAAGUAACUCCUAUCCAGGCCAAAAACCUAAUCUUUCAAACCAGAUCAAUAGAUUUGCCGAUAAACCACGAAUAUCAUUACUUAUCUAUUAACUUUACUAAACCCGAAAAUACUUAUUAAGAACUUAUUAAACAAACUCAACCUUUUAAUAACUCACCACAAAUACAGUAUCUAGUAGAAAAACUUAACAGAGAAAUGAACGGUAUAAUUUAAUUUUAAUUGUAAGCCGUAGUAAAAGCGGUCUUGUUAACUUUAUGGGAACAAAUAAAAUUGUUCUUAUUCGGUACUUUAGAUUAAGAAGGCAAAGAAGCUUUAUUACAACAAAUAGCCGACAUCUCUAAAAAUAAUGUACAAAUAAGCGAACUUAACCACGUAAUAGAAGUCAUUAACAAAAGAAUCGAAUUGAAUAGUCAUUUAAAUCAUAACUUUGAAAAAGAACAUAUGAUAGAUUUAAACCUUUUUAACUUACAGGAAUUCACUGAAUACAUUGAAACAUAGAGCUUGGUUUGAAACUAACAAGCUAAGGUACAUAUCUUUAAUCCAAAAAUUUUAAAACACGAUUCAUUAAUCCACGUCAAUUCUGAAAAACUUCUUAAUAUAAAAACGUCAGCUUUGCUUAAAUCUGAUACGAACGAAAUUCUGAUAAUAUCCCAUAUUCCAAGAGAAAUAACCAAAACACCAGUUUUUUAAAUAAUACCCUACCCAGACGGAAAAAGUAACAUACUAACCGAAACAAUACAUGACAAAUAUUUUUCAGACAAUAUUCAAACAUACACGGCAAGUUCUCAAAGCUUGGUUGUAAAUAAAUGUAUAACUGGUAUACUAAACCACGUCCCAACACAAUGUAGAUACAGUAAAACACAUUCUGAUUUUGAAAUAAAAUAUGUAGAACCUAAUAUAAUCACAACUUGGAACCUUCCCAAGACUAUCCUAAACCAAAACUGUAUCAAUAGAGAAACUAUAAUAGAAGGCAAUAACAUGAUAAAAACAUUUAAUUGUUCUGUCCAAUUAGAAGAAAUAUGAAUCACCAACAUAAUUAUAGACUAUACUCAUACUAUCUAUGUAAAAAACAAUGUAACAAAUCUUGAACCACUCGAAUACAUU